GAAGGAGGGUGCUAGCGUUGUUCGGAAUCACUGGGCGUAAAGGGCGCGUAGGCGGCCAUUCAAGUCGAGUGUGAAAGCCCGGGGCUCAACCUCGGAACUGCAUUCGAUACUGGAUGGCUUGAGGCCGGAAGAGGAGAGUGGAAUACCCAGUGUAGAGGUGAAAUUCGUAGAUAUUGGGUGGAACACCAGUGGCGAAAGCGGCUCUCUGGUCCGGUCCUGACGCUGAGGCGCGAAAGCGUGGGUAGCAAACAGG
rnacentral:rRNA from 1 species